CGCGUAGGAAUCUGCCCAGUAGAGGGGGAUAGCCCGAGGAAACUCGGAUUAAUACCGCAUACGCCCUACGGGGGAAAGGCCGGGAUCUUCGGACCGGUCACUAUUGGAUGAGCCUGCGUUGGAUUAGCUUGUUGGUAGGGUAAAAGCCUACCAAGGCGACGAUCCAUAGCUGGUCUGAGAGGAUGAUCAGCCACACUGGGACUGAGACACGGCCCAGACUCCUACGGGAGGCAGCAGUGGGGAAUAUUGGACAAUGGGGGCAACCCUGAUCCAGCCAUGCCGCGUGUGUGAAGAAGGCCUUCGGGUUGUAAAGCACUUUU
rnacentral:rRNA from 1 species